CUUUUAAAUAGGGCCUCAUGGAGCUCAGCAGCCUCUUCACUGCUAUCCAGCUGAGGAUUACCUGGACCUCCUGACCCUUCUUGCUCCUGAGACUACAGAGAUGUCCUCAGACACAUUCGCAGGACAAGCACAUCCGGGGAACCGGCUUCCUGGACCUUUCACUUAGCAGUUGUAAGGUGUGGUGUCAACACACAAGCUUCCUGCAACUGAGAAGACAUACCCUCCUGGAAUAAACAGCAGCAGGGCAGCCACUCCCUGGUGUCUCGGAGACUGUGACUACCAGACGUAGGGGAACAAGCACUGUAUUUUAUCAUGCAACUGGAUCUGUACAACCCUUACUGAACACCACACUCUCCAGGAAGCACUUGCUGGCUGCCAAGGACAGAAACAAGGGCGUCCAGAAUAGCGGGUUCACGAGUCCUCCUCAGCCUCUGCACCUCAGCUGUGAGGCAUACAGUGGAGGUCCCCAACUAUCUGACUUCCAAUCAGCCUGUUUGUGGAUGGAGUAAGCUAAUUGCUGUGGCUUAUUGCUGGCACAGCCUUCUGAGAAGCAACAGGGGCUUGCAGGUGGCUGAACGGAAUCACCUCAAGUCCUGUAAAUGCCUUUAUCCUGUAGGAGGAGCCACUUUGCCAGCCUGGAAAGCUCCGGGAACCGCUCCCUGCCCAGGAUACUUCAUCAGCUCAAAACACAUAGUUCUGCAGUGACCAGAAACUUCCCGCCCUCUGCCUUGCUUUGGGGUUAGGAGUUACUGUAGCUCAAGUGGUUUGGACACGCCCCAGCUGUACCUGGAAGAGUGGUGAACUCAAGCUCCAGCCUCCACCCACAAGGAACAAACUGAAGGUGUGUGCACCCUGCCUUCUGUAGCCAUCCCACCUGAACACAUCUACAGGCAACACAGAAUGCCCUCAGUCACUCACGAGUCACUGUUCUACACCCACCAGGCCCCUCCAACAGGCUGAGCAUACCCAGUAAGCCGGAUACACAUCACAUUUCACCCUCAGUGUGCAGCCUCUUACUUAACAGAUAAGACAUUGACAACACCCAUGGCGUUGGUGGCCGCAUUAGAUCUGUGGUGAUUUCCUACAGUGAAAUCAAUGUUUCCAAAUUGUUGAUAAUGCUGUUAGGAUGGAACCCGGGGGCUCCUACACAGCCUUCGGCCUCUGCCAUACUUGAUAUUCCUGUACUUUGCUUUGUGAGUACUGAACCUAGAACUUCACACAUGCUAGCAAGCAUUCCAUCAGAGUAUGUCCCCGGCCCUGUGUUCCCAUUUUGUAGGUAGACAAGCUAAGGUUUAACAAAUUAGUGUAGGGAGCUAUGUGCGUCCAGCUGCAAGACACUUGCCUGUCCUUGGAGUCACACCCGAGGAGGAGACCAUCAAAGGCUUGGGUAUAAAAAUUUAUUAUACGUAAAAGAAUAUUACCACUAAUAAAUGCAGACAAGCAAGGACACAACGGGACUGGCUGGAAGAUGAAUUCUUUGGAAAGUGAACAGGUUUAAGUGGCUGGGAGCCUCGUGCCAAACACC